UAGAGGAUGCUUCACAUCUGACCCAGAGUUCCAGAGGACUACACUAUGGAGAUAAAAGAGGACCACUAUUCAGGGCAGAAGUAAAUGUUAUUGUGGUUUCAUUAGCAGUAAAGGACACAGAUUCACACUACCUACUAAUAAAAAAUAGAAAUAAAAGCAGGAAGGGAAAAGGAGACUAAGAAGUACAGGAAUUUGCAGAAACUGUGGUAUGGAUCCUGUUCCUGAGAGUUCAAUGCCAUGAAUAGCAUCAACAAUCAUUAACGUGCCAUUGGUGCCUCAGCUGCAACAGGGAAGCCCUGGGACAGGAGGAUGGAGAAACAAGCCCAACAAGAGAGGAAACGUGGCCAGGAUAUAAACUACAAGUGAAAUGAGAGUCAAGCAACCAUCCUGUCCAAUGAUACCCUUGGUCUUGGGGCAGUGAAGGCAACAUGAACCUGACUCAUGCUGGACCAUGGGAAAAGUUAAAGCAGUUCCUGAGGCUGCUUCACACAAAAAUAAAGUCAAAUGUGCACAGUAAUUGCUUUCUAAUUGUGCUGGAUCCAUCCUGCGUUUCCCACUGCGUACUUUAGUGAUACCUUGAUCUGACAACCCUGCGCUGACAUUCCUACACUCCAUCUGUCAACUGGAGCUGAAGAGUGUCUGUCCCUCCAUGGAGCAAAUGUGUCUCCAGUUUGCCACAGUCCUCUCCCAGUUUAUGUGACUCCUUUGCUCCUAUCAACACCUGAACUUGCAAUCCCUAUUCUAAUGUUCCUGUCCUAAGGAACACAAAAUUGGUGGCACCAUCAGUGGAAAUAGAAAAGAUGAUGCUGCUUUGGAGAAUUCAAUUUUGUUCAUGUUCAGUCUGAGGUAACAGGAGGACAUCACUGACAAAAUGCCCUGUGGCAGGAAGUGCAAGGUCAAACUUUAGGAAAGUGUCUGCAAGAAGAGUUGCCCAAGCCAAAGACUGUCAUAGGUAUUGCUGGCUCUGGUGGAAGCAAAAACUUCAUUCACG